ACCUUAGAGACCAACUAAGUUUGUUAUUGGUAUGAGCUUUUGAGCUUUCGUGUGCAUGCACACUUCUUCAGAUACCACAUGAAAGCUCAUACCAAUAACAAACUUAGUUGGUUUCUAAGGU